AGAGUUUGAUCCUGGCUCAGAACGAACGCUGGCGGCGUGCUUAACACAUGCAAGUCGAGUGCGCGCCUGUAGCAAUACAGGUGGCGCACGGCGCACGGGUGCGUAACACGUGGGUAAUCUGCCCUCUGAUGGGGAAUAACUCGCCGAAAGGCGAGCUAAUUCCGCAUAAUAUUCCGAGAACCUCGGUUUUUGGACUGAAAGGCGUAAGUCGUCGGAGGAGGAGCCCGCGCACGAUUAGCUAGUUGGUAGGGUAAUGGCCUACCAAGGCUUUGAUCGUUAGCUGGUCUGAGAGGAUGGCCAGCCACACUGGAACUGAGACACGGUCCAGACUCCUACGGGAGGCAGCAGUGGGGAAUCUUGCACAAUGGGCGAAAGCCUGAUGCAGCGACGCCGCGUGGGGGAUGAAGCUUCUCGGAGUGUAAACCCCUUUCGAUCCGGACGAAUGCCCGCAAGGGAUUGACGGUACGGAUAUAAGAAGCCCCGGCUAACUACGUGCCAGCAGCCGCGGUAAUACGUAGGGGGCCAGCGUUGUUCGGAAUUACUGGGUGUAAAGGGUUCGUANGCGGUGCGGCAAGUUGGGAGUGAAAUCUCUGGGCUCAACCCAGAGACGGCUUCCAAAACUGCUGUGCUUGAGUGUGA
rnacentral:rRNA from 1 species